rnacentral:rRNA from 1 species
CCUACGGGUGGCAGCAGUGGGGAAUAUUGCACAAUGGGGGAAACCCUGAUGCAGCGACGCCGCGUGAAGGAAGAAGUAUUUCGGUAUGUAAACUUCUAUCAGUAGGGAAGAAAAUGACUGUACCUGACUGAGAAGCCCCGGCUAACUACGUGCCAGCAGCGGCGGUAAUACGUAGGCGGCAAGCGUUAUCCUGAUUUACUGGGUGUAAAGGGAGCGUAUGCGGUUCAGCAAGUCAGUAGUGAAAGCCUGGGGCUCAACUCCGGGACUGCAUUUGAAACUGUCGAACUAGAGUGCAGUAGAGGUAAGUGGAAUGCGUGGUGUAGCGGUGAAAUGCGUAGAUAUUAGGAGGAACACCAGUGGCGAAGGCAGCUUACUGGACUGCAAAUGACGCUGAGGCUCGAAAGCGUGGGGAGCAAACAGGAUUAGAUACCCGUGUAGUC